ensembl:rRNA 5S_rRNA 5S ribosomal RNA
UCAUCUGGCCAUACCACCUUUGCUCUGCCCGAUCCCGUCAGACCUCGGAAGCUGAGCAGGGAAGGGCCUGGUCGGUACUUGGAUGGGAGACCGUUUGGGAACACCAGGAACCCUGGGUGAA